UCCUCUUAGAAAGGUCAAAUGCACUCAGUGAGCCUCAGUCUUUGAGCAGCUCCUUUCCUCUGCUGACACCUCAACAGGCCACCUCCCACCACUCUUUCCACUAACCUGCUCUCUCCAUCAGACAGCCUCCUUGUUUCCUUGUCUUCUCUUCAGGCUGACAACCAGCCCAAACAAAUGGGCCUCCACGAAGUGCUUGCUGUGGCUGCCCUCUGUGCCUUUGGACACGCAGCCUUGAAGCAGCCUCAGAGCUCCAUCACUGCAUAUGUGGGCACAACAGCACGCGUGAUCUGUGAGGUGUCCAGCAGCAACUUUGCCAAUGAGUACAUACACUGGUACCAACAGAAACCAAACCAGCCUUUAGAGCAUCUUCUCUAUGUCGUAUCGACCCGGGUCCCCACCCAAAAAUCAUUAGAUGAUCGAAAGAACAAAUUUGUGGGGGAAAAGAAUAAUGCUCAGAGCACCUCAGUCCUGGCAAUAAACUCCAUAACACAUAAGGACGAGGCCACCUAUUACUGUGCCAUCUGGGAAUACCACAGCAAUGAACACUCCGUGACCCCACAUACAAGAAUCCUGCCCUCAUCAGUCCCUCCCCACAUCCUCUUCCAAAGGGGCCACCUCCUCCUCCAUUCUGGCUCCCAUCCUCAGCCUGCCUGCAGCACUUCCUGCAUUUCUUCUCAAGCCAACAUGGCCCCUGUCCACAGCUGA